GUGGAACAUCUGCCUAGUUUACCCUCAGCAAGUCCUUUGAUGACAUUUGAAAAAUAUGGAGAGGCUCUCUGCUAUUUUAGCAUCAUGCCAUUCUGGUGAGCCUCAAAAAUGUUCAGCAACAUCCUGGUCUUGUCAUCAGCAGAAAGCCUCAGAGACCACACAACCUCCAAUGCCUCAUAGAGAAAGAGGCUGUUGGUCAUCCUCUGUGCUGCCUCUGCAAUGAGCCUGCUGUCAUUCGCUCUGAUGACCCUGCCUUUUUUGAGGGCCUCUUUGUGGCAAAAGACAGUGAAGUGUCCACAUUUACCGAGACCAUCCAAAAAGCAGUGAAAAAUGCAAGUAUUAUUGAUAAUGUGACAAAAUAGCUGUAUUACUGAAAUAUUACCGAAACUGAAUUGAGAGAAACACUGGCCUAUAUAGCAGACCCAAUUGCAUUCAUUUUACUGUGUUCAGCAAACAUCACGAUAAAGAAGAGACUGUACGACCAGGUGAUGCUAACAAUGCGACUGCAAGAGGAGAAGAACAUUUUGGUGCUGGAGAUGGCACAACAUUGCACAUGGUUGCAGAAGCAGGCAGAGGAGCUUGAGAACAAGGUGGCUGAGAAUGAACAGGGCAACAAAGGACUUUGCUGUCUCUUAGGUCCUGAGGCUUCUGCCCAUCUUCAUGUUGAGGACGAGGAUCAAAGUGCCCUCAGCAGUCCAGACACUAGUGACGACGAAGAGGAUAUCACAAUUUAGAUUGAUGCUGCAGGACAGACUGUGGUGAAGGACAUGGACUUGGAUCUGCCUGCCUCCCACUCUACACCUGCCCUGCUGCUGCAAUCAAGCCACCUGGUUUCCGCCAGCUCAUUACCAAAUCUGCACUUAUGGUGCAUUCCAGACAACCUAUCUCGUUUUCUAUUUCAUAUGUGGUCAAC